UGUACAUACAAUAGAAUGUUAUUCAGCCUUGAAAAGGAAGGGAAUUCUACAACAUGCCGCCACAUGAAUGAAGCUUGAGGACGUUAUGUGGAAAAUUGUAUUCCAUGGUGGAAUUCCAGGCCCUCCAAGAUUUUUGAGGAUGGAGUUUGAGCUAAGAUCAAACUUGUCUGUGGGCAAGGCCAUCCUGGCUGAUAUCAAAGCAAUUAGGAGUCUCUGAGAGAACAGCUCCAGCAAGGCAUAUGAAAUGAGAUGAGAAGGGCCUGAGGACAACAUGAAGGCCUGAAUACCUGGAGAGGAAAAGGGGCUACUUUCAUAACAAAGACAAAUUCAUGGUGUUACCAGUCCCUCCCUGGCUGCUUGCACCUUCAUUUUGGACCUUCUUGCUCCCCACUAGUACAGCAGCAGGCUUCGCCCCGCUGUGGACUAUAUGAAGGAUAUUAAAGACAGCAUCAGACUGCCA